rnacentral:rRNA from 1 species
AACGAACGCUGGCGGCAGGCUUAACACAUGCAAGUCGAGCGCCCCGCAAGGGGAGCGGCUGACGGGUGAGUAACGCGUGGGAACGUACCCUUUACUACGGAAUAGCUCCGGGAAACUGGAAUUAAUACCGUAUGUGCCCUUCGGGGGAAAGAUUUAUCGGUAAAGGAUCGGCCCGCGUUGGAUUAGCUAGUUGGUGGGGUAAAGGCCUACCAAGGCGACGAUCCAUAGCUGGUCUGAGAGGAUGAUCAGCCACACUGGGACUGAGACACGGCCCAGACUCCUACGGGAGGCAGCAGUGGGGAAUCUUCGGCAAUGGGCGCAAGCCUGACCGAGCCAUGCCGCGUGAGCGAUGAAGGCCUUAGGGUUGUAAAGCUCUUUCGCCAGGGAUGAUAAUGACAGUACCUGGUAAAGAAACCCCGGCUAACUCCGUGCCAGCCGCCGCGGUAAAAC